UACGGAGGAUGCAAGCGUUAUCCGGAAUGAUUGGGCGUAAAGGGUCCGCAGGUGGCAGUGUAAGUCUGCUGUCAAAGAAUGAGGCUUAACCUCAUCAAGGCAGUGGAAACUACACAGCUAGAGUACGGUCGGGGUAGAAGGAAUUCCUGGUGUAGCGGUGAAAUGCGUAGAGAUCAGGAAGAACACCGGUGGCGAAAGCGUUCUGCUGGACUGCAACUGACACUCAGGGACGAAAGCUAGGGGAGCGAAUGGG
rnacentral:rRNA from 1 species